rnacentral:rRNA from 1 species
AGUGAACGCUGGCGGUAGGCCUAACACAUGCAAGUCGAACGGCCGCACAGUAAGCGCUCGCUCUUACGGUUAGCGACUGGCGGGUGGGUGAGGCAUACAUCGGCAUCCUCUUUUUCGUGGGGGAUUACGUAGGGAAACUUACGCUAACACAUCAUAUGUUCUACGGGUUAAAUCAAGAGUUCUUCGCACCCUGCGUGUCUCUUUUAGCUGAUGUCGGAUUAGCUAGUUGGCUGGGUAAAGGCCCACCAAGGCGACGAUCCGUAGCUGGUCUGAGAGGAUGAUCAGCCACACUGGAACUGAGACACGGUCCAGACUCCUACGGGAGGCAGCAGUGGGGAAUAUUGGACAAUGGGCGCAAGCCUGAUCCAGCCAUACCGCGUGGGUGAAGAAGGCCUUCGGGUUGUAAAGCCCUUUUGUUGGGAAAGAAAAGCAGCAGGUUAAUACCCCGCUGUUCUGACGGUACCCAAAGAAUAAGCACCGGCUAACUUCGUG